rnacentral:lncRNA from 1 species
AUGAAAGACCUGAGUAUAUUUCUAGCUGAAUGUGACUAUGUGUUAUAUGGCUCACUUUUUUUGUUUUUUAAGCAAAAUAUAAGAACAUCCAAGUAUUGUUCCCUUUAUAGCAGUUCCCUUAAAAAGAUUAAACACCUAUUUCUGUGUUAUGGUUCCUUUUUUUGGAACUAUAUUCCCGCUUCAAGGUGUUUUUAAUAUUUGGAAACAGUAUAAACCAUUUGGAAUCACGAUUGGUUAAGUUGAAUUUGGGCUAAAAUACUAAGAAUACAGCAUUCUCGGUGACAUGUAAAUUAGCUCUCAGUUGGUCCCCAAACUGCUUUUAUCAAUGAUAGCACUCCUGGAACAAACCUUCCAAGGUCCUCUAAUGACAAUAUUUAAUUCGGAUACUUAAGGUGUGGUUGGUUAUUGCUUUCGUUUUAUUAUAGUCAUUACUUUAUAGCCACGUGUUGUAUAUAUCAUAUAGCCCAGUUGUAUUCAGACUUGUAAAUAUAACUUUCAAGUAGUUAAUCUUAAAGUCAUAUAUUUGCAUGUUCUUUUAAGCUUCGUCCAUGCUGGUUAUUGCACUGAACGAUAAUAUAUAUGGCAUGUUAACAGUAUACCAGUAACAGCACUUUAUCUCAUUUAUAUGAACACCUUUGAGGUGCUACUUAAGUCCAAACUGAUGUAUUAUUCAUUUGUAAAGAUAAGGUACAGGAGUGAACCUUGAUUUUAAAGGUAUUUUUAUAAGAAAAUGGUGUGCUAUUGGAGGAUGUUAAAAUACUAGCCUGAGAGAGGUGGUGGGAGUGUAUUUGUUUUAUAUGUUGGGAUGUGAAAUUUAUUUUCUAGAAUUGGAGAGAAGGAAGUUCUAUAUUUACAGAAUGUUUUAAAAAUGAAUAGUUGUAAUGAAGUCCCUGAGCAUCAUUAUGGUUUUGUACGAAUAGGACUCUUCUGGUGUCAUUCUCCAUUUGUUCCUGAGUGUGUACAGUGUACUUUGUACAGCUUUGUCAGUCUUUUUUUAGAGGCGUCUCAUGAGUUCUGCUAUAACUACUAUGGCUUAUUUAUUGUUUAUUGUUUUCUUUAAUAUUUGUGGAAGUCUUACUCUUUUGUUAUGUAGUUUUGUUUCUGCACAACUACUGUACUUUUCCAUAUGGAAUAAAGACAAUUAAUAG